rnacentral:rRNA from 1 species
CCCUUAGAUGUUCUGGGCCGCACGCGUGCUACACUGAGUGGAUCAGCGGGUCAGGUUGCGCGAAAGUGUUUCCUAAUCUUGAAAUCCGCUCGUGAUGGGGAUUGACGGUUGCAAUUUUCCGUCAUGAACGAGGAAUACCUUGUAAGCGCGGGUCAUCAUCCCGCGCUGAAUACGUCCCUGCCCUUUGUACACACCGCCCGUCGCUCCUACCGAUUGAGUGGUCCGGUGAGGCUUUGGGAUCUGAGCAAAGAGAGCGUUUCGUUCGUUUUGCCCGGAAAACUCAGUCGAACCUUAUCAUUUAGAGGAAGGAGAAGUCGUAACA